UGGAAGCCAAUGGGAUGGAAAGAGCAGCUGUGUGGCAACGUAAGAGGAGGAUUGUAGGGUUUUUCAAGCUUACUGACGGCCAUUUCUGCUCAUUCGCUGCCAGUGGUACGUCCAAGACACAAGGAGCUGUAAAGAGCACAGGAAUAAAGAGCAGGAAUGGAUGCCAAGAGGAAGGAAAGUAGGCGGCACAGAAGAUGGGAAACAAAGCAAAAAACGUCUGGGCAACACGGUACUAGAUCUUAAAUGCUGCUCAGUAGGC
ensembl:lncRNA